GUCCAGGGAUGGGAAUAGAACCCACAGUGUUCCGCUUACCGGGCAGAUGCCAUGUCAACUAUGCUACCCUGGA
rnacentral:tRNA from 1 species